GGGGGGGGGAGAUCAACCUUUUGUUACUCCAAAAAGAUUUUCCAUUUUUUUUAUUGGGACUUUAAAAAAUGAGCAUGAGACCUGACGAGGAGGUCACGUGACGAGCAGGGUGAGUUGUAUUUAGAAGUCUAGCUAGAUAACAUUGUGGUCAAGUUGUUUUCAUCUGCCUGGAGUUGAUGUCCUCUGCAGUACUUUCUGUUGUUUGGAGGAAGUUCAGUUCAAGAAAUGAAAGCUGUAGGCUAAUGAUCGCUGAUAUUAUCAAUCCCUUGUCACCAUUUUCUAUAUCCUAAAGUACGUUACUCUGUCUCACAUUAUCUUCAUUUAAAACAACAACAACAAGAGUAUUGAUUACCGUGUACUACAUUCUGCGGCUGUGUCCCCAAGUUGCGAUCCAUACGCAAUGUCAAAGUGACACUAAAUGUCUUGCAAAUCUGUAAUUUAGAUGUUUGGUUUUUUUUAGCGAAAUUUGUAACAAUGUCACAUUAUUGCAUUAACUUUGAUUGACAGCGCCCUGGUUAUCCCCCUCCCCACCCUACAGCCCGUUGCUCGUCCAAACUCAGCCCACCCCCCAUGCACAUUGGAGUCAGCAACUAAUGGACGAUAGAUUAAUGACCAGGCAAAACGGAUAUAAAAAAAAAGUUGUAGACUGACCUGAAGCUGUCGAUGUGUCCCGACACCAGCUUGACAAAUACGUUAAUGGUGUCUACGUUUUAAAGUGUCUGUCAUUCUGGUCCUGGCCAUCUUCCCUUCCAUUCCUUUCCCGUUCUUCAAUUUCAUCAAUUAACUUCAGCCUCGACGCAAUGGAUGCCAAUAUAGGAAAUGAUUAUUGUUACAUUUCUUUUUUAAAUAACGCUCUGGAAUGGUGUAAACUAAUUCCAGUACGGAAAUUAAAAAUGAAAAUUUAAAAAAAAAGAAAUAGAACUCGAAAUGUCACCGUCAGAAGUAGGUCAAGUAAUUGAAAUGUAAUAGUUUAUUGUGUCUGUCAAGUCAUGACUUGUCAAAUUUUGUGGAAAAUAAAGACAGCCUUCAUUGAUUGAGGAUCAGUCAGAGGUGCCUCUAACAUUUUUAUGAGGAGGCAGACAGUAUUUUGUCAGAUAAAAGAGUUUAUUGAAUAAUAAGAAACAUGAGUCUACCUCGUUUCAUGUGGUUCAUCUAGUUGGAAAUCAAGUGUUCGUUCAAGAGUGAGAGGGAAAAGUUCAAAUACAUUCUCAUUGAAGCAUCCAUUACAGGGAAUAUGUAGGGCCAAAAUAAUUCGUCGUUUUUCUCAUUGUUAAGUGUAUAGUAAUGGCAACCACGUGACAUUUUGAAAGCCAGGCUUCAGGUUCUCUUUAAUGAAGUUUUUGACUUUGCCAUGAGCAAGUCCGCUAACCCAUAGGUCUUGAGCAAGUGUUUUAGACAAUGGUACAGUGUUUCACUUUGUUUCAAUGUCGCGAUGACAUCUCAUAGUCCCUGCACACUUCCUUCAGUCUGUUACUUGCACACAGUUUCAUCUUUUAUAACGUAAGCAUUUGUCUUGUUCAGGUGAAGAAGUCUGGAAUGGGUUCAUUCAUCCACUUUAAGUAGACGCCAGUGAACGCAAAAAGCGCUAAUGAGGUAACGCCUGUAAAUAUACUGAGGACUCAAAAUCUCAGGGUUUUGUUUGGAUGAGAAUAGUGAAUGGUCUGGAUUGGAAAUGCUUAUACUCAAGUUUAUUUACUUGUUGUUUCUAUUUUAUUUAUUUUGAUUCUAAUGUGUUUAACAAAGUGCACGCUAAUGAUUCUAGGAUUGUACAAAUGUAAAGAGUUGAUCAAUAGUUCCGUCUGCUGUACACCGGUCACAUAUAAAAGCGUGAGAUAUUGAUUGAUUGGUUUCCAUUUUAUGAUACUCUCCAAUAUUUAUCUUUGUCUGAUUAGUAUUUGUCUGAUUUGUAUUUGUCUGAUUUCUAUUCGUCUGAUUUCUAUUUGUCUGAUUUCUAUUUGUCUGAUUUCUAUUCGUCUGAUUUCUAUUUGUCUGAUUUCUAUUUGUCUGAUUUCUAUUUGUCUGAAUUGUAUUUGUCUGAUUUCUAUUUGCCUGAUUUCUAUUUGUCUGAUUUCUAUUUGUCUGAUUUCUGUUUGUCUGAUUUCUAUUUGUCUGAUUUCUAUUCGUCUGAUUUGUAUUUCUCUGAUUUCUAUUUGUCUGAAUUGUAUUUGUCUGAUUUCUAUUUGCCUGAUUUCUGUUUGUCUGAUUUCUAUUUGUCUGAAUUGUAUUUGUCUGAUUUCUAUUUGCCUGAUUUCUGUUUGUCUGAUUUCUAUUUGUCUGAAUUGUAUUUGUCUGAUUUGUAUUCGUCUGAUUUCUAUUUGUCUGAUUUGAAAACGAAUACGAUCUUCUUAAUACUUGGUGCAAAGUGUGAUUGUUAAGUAUAGGAUGUAUAGAAGUAUAAAGAAAAGUAUAGUAUACUCUUGAAGUAUAGUAUAGAAUAAAAAAAAAAGAUUGAAAAUAUGUACAUGUGUUGUGAAAGACUUUGUGUGGCAGUAAAGUUAGCGAGAUAUUUUUUGUUAUAUGUUUACAAUGUCCUGCCUAGCUACCUCUUAUGUUUAUGUUUCUUGGUUACAUGGCUGUGUAGAAAUAAUUAAAUGUAGAAUUGAAUUACAAGUUUUGGCCACACGACCCACAAUGAGUCAUAUUAAGCACUUUUGAUAACUCCUAGUUUCUAUUGAGAACUGUUUUGUCCAUGCUUGUAGUUAGGCUAGGACUCAAUAUACGGUUUUGUUUCUUGUUCUAUUGUGUGUCAAAGUGAAAUACAUUCAGGAGUUUGUUCUGUACGUUUAAUCAGUCUCAGAUUGACCUUGACAUUUCGCAGCCAGGUUCCAACGAUAAACGUGUACAUUUAGCACCUUUUCAAAACCUCAAAUCGAAUGACUCACAUUACACACGAAUGACUCACAUUACACACUAAUGACUCACAUUACACACUAAUGACUCACAUUACACGCUAAUGACUCACAUUACACACCAAUGAUGAACUGCACAUCUAGACACAUGGUUGGCUUAAAAGUCUUUGCUCUUAGUGCUGUUUAUAACUUUGUUUUCUCUGCUCGUUCUAAAACGUGACGUACUGAAAUCUGAUCCCAAACUUGUGUGACCCAAUAACUCCACGUCCGCGUCAUUGACCAAAUAAUUACACCGACACAUUAAAAUAUCUUUUAAACAUUUUCUAGUUUGCUCCAACCGCUGCAUGGAUUUAAAUAAUGAACUCUCUCCUAUCACCAUGUGUAACAUUUGAACUUCAUCAACAUCAUAGGCCUUACAUUUUUUUUUUAAGUUACACCCCUCCCCCGCCCCAUCCAGCCAACCACUUAUCUCACUUGACCUUGUUGCUCCUGGUACUGGCACUAUUUUGCUUAUAGGUCAAUCCAGUACUACGUUUAGUUUUGCAGGGUUUUUUAUUCAACACCUUGAUCUAGUUCUCAGCUACGAAAUCUAUUCUCUAUAAAAGAAGGAAAAUAAACACAAACUGUUAUUGAACUGAUUUAAGUUUUAUUGUACAGAGAGACUAUGUGUACAAUAUACAAUGUAAUGUACACUAUAUGUAGAUUCUUGUAAAUUAUAUAUGUGUAAUUGUAUUGUUCUUAUCAUGCGACAAUAAACAAAUAUAAGAAUGUGUGUAUUUCCCACAUAAUAUUAUGUUAUUAUGACAAUAAGACAGUCUAGAAUAUUUUCUGAUUACCGUUCGAUUGUUUGAUAAAUAUUGAUCUGUGCUUUUCAUGCUUGUAUUUGAUUGAAACAUUGUAUAGUGUACAUAUUUAUUUCAAUAUUUUCCUAGCCAGCCGAACUGUAUAUAGCAUUCAGAAAAAGUUUGAAAUACACUUUUUUGUGUGUGCACUAUAUUUUUUUUUAUAAAGAUUGAUGUUUAUAUAUCAUGUCCCCGGAACUAUCUGAUAUAGCAAUGUACAAUGUAUGUAGAAUAAGGUCAAAAAAAUAUUAUGAAAAUAAACUUUUCAUUUAAAAAGAAAUAAACUCUAUACUAAACGUAGGACUAUGAAAUAAAGCUAUGUAGUCAGUUAGAAAUGCUUAAAGGCUCAAAACAAAAAGUAUAUUAAAUGUCAUGAAGCCUAAUUCUGUCACUACAUUCGCGUACAUUAUAUCUGUAUGGCUUACUUGGGACUGUUAUGCAAAUGUGAAUCACGUAGACAAGUGAUGAGGGCAGUCGACUGAGACCAUUCAUGGUAGUAGACCUCGACACUGAACUGCGACAUAGCUGACCUGUGAGGUGACAACGGUCUCCACUGUCCCCAGGUCGCGAGGUUGCAGGUCAAUGUUCACGCCUUCCAUAGAUGUUGUUCUCGCGCCAUGAUUCCCCCAACUGGCACCCUCGGUACGCCACUGAACACGUGCUUUUAACUUAGUGACUUAAAGUAAAAUGUGAUUUUGUAACUAUUUUUAAAACUGAAUGAAACGAAUAGUUUGAUUCACUUUUGUUACAAAGUGUUAGCAUAUAAUAAAGUGGGAGGGGCGGCUAAACACUUUUUGAUGCAAGGAAUUGCUGGCAAUAGUCACUAUAUUGGCAAACAAUGAAAACCCUGACCUAAGAGGUUAGUCGUGUGGAGUAAUCAAGAUGUUUACACUGACCUAAGGGAUUGGUCGCAUGCUCUCAGUCAGAUGUUUAGACCGAAACGGCUAGUCCAUGAGUCAAUGUAGUAUUUAAUCACCGCCACUGCUUUAGGUUUGUUAUCAAUAAGACAUGAUCUUAACAGCGCAUAACUUAACGAGCUGCUCUUAGCAGACGAUCCGUGAGUGAGAUGACUUAGUCGAGCAAAAGACAGCAGCAGACGAGAUAACAUACAGAAUUGUGACUUGAAACGGCAGUUGGUACCACGUUUUUCAGAUCUAUUCAUCAAGUUAAUCAAUAAAUCACAGCAAGGUCACACAAGGUCAGAAAUUCUGGAAUAAAUGUAAGAGAAAAGCCACAAACCCUGAAGAUAAGAAAUUUGCAAAUAUCUCUACAAAAUUCGUAUUUUGUUUCAUUAUGACUCACACCUAACAACGGACCAUCUGCUGAAUCUUGCCGCUGCAUCUCCCAAAGUAGAGAGAUAAUAAAAGUUAUUGCAAUAACAAAAGCAAAUGAGGGUUACAACAUCACUAGAUCUAUAUCCUAGCACUCCAGGGAUACAUAAUCACUAGAUCUAUGUCCUAUCACUCCCAGGGAUACAUCAUCACUAGAUCUAUAUCCUAGCACUCCAGGGAUACAUCAUCACUAGAUCUAUAUCCUAGCACUCCCAAGGUUACAUCAUCACUAGAUCUAUAUCCUAGCACUCCAGGGAUACAUAAUCACUAGAUCUAUGUCCUAUCACUCCCAGGGAUACAUCAUCACUAGAUCUAUAUCCUAGCACUCCAGGGAUACAUCAUCACUAGAUCUAUAUCCUAGCACUCCCAAGGUUACAUCAUCACUAGAUCUAUAUCCUAGCACACCUUCGUAGAGUUCUAGUAAAUAGUCAAUCCCUUUGAUACAUUUGAACAUUGUUACCUACACAGACAGGUCGUUGACCUACUGGUGUACCUGUGUUAGUGUUGGCACACCUUGAAAGUGAGCAGUGUACAUUGUGUACUCACUGUGUAGCUACGAGAUGUACAUAUGGUAUGUAUGGCAUUGUCUAUUUGUACAAACAAAUGCGAGACAGCGUUCGUACAAAAGAUGUGCGUGUGUGUUUGUUGUUACUGGGUCAAAUGUGGACAUUGAAACAUUACUUGUUUACAUUUAGUGACUUGAUAGUAAAAAAAAUGUUUCCUUCCUA